CAGCAGCAGCCACGGGAAUACGGAGGGGGCUAGCGUUGUUCGGAAUUACUGGGCGUAAAGCGUACGUAGGCGGCUUUGUAAGUUAGAGGUGAAAGCCUGGUGCUCAACACCAGAACUGCCUUUAAGACUGCAUCGCUUGAACGUCGGAGAGGUGAGUGGAAUUCCGAGUGUAGAGGUGAAAUUCGUAGAUAUUCGGAAGAACACCAGUGGCGAAGGCGGCUCACUGGACGACUGUUGACGCUGAGGUACGAAUGCGUGGGGAGCGAACAGGAUUAGAUACCCGUGUAGUCCCUGUCUCUUAUAC
rnacentral:rRNA from 1 species